rnacentral:rRNA from 1 species
UAAGAGCUUGCUCUUAUGAAGUUAGCGGCGGACGGGUGAGUAACACGUGGGUAACCUGCCCAUAAGACUGGGAUAACUCCGGGAAACCGGGGCUAAUACCGGAUAACAUUUUGCACCGCAUGGUGCGAAAUUGAAAGGCGGCUUCGGCUGUCACUUAUGGAUGGACCCGCGUCGCAUUAGCUAGUUGGUGAGGUAACGGCUCACCAAGGCAACGAUGCGUAGCCGACCUGAGAGGGUGAUCGGCCACACUGGGACUGAGACACGGCCCAGACUCCUACGGGAGGCAGCAGUAGGGAAUCUUCCGCAAUGGACGAAAGUCUGACGGAGCAACGCCGCGUGAGUGAUGAAGGCUUUCGGGUCGUAAAACUCUGUUGUUAGGGAAGAACAAGUGCUAGUUGAAUAAGCUGGCACCUUGACGGUACCUAACCAGAAAGCCACGGCUAACUACGUGCCAGCAGCCGCGGUAAUACGUAGGUGGCAAGCGUUAUCCGGAAUUAUUGGGCGUAAAGCGCGCGCAGGUGGUUUCUUAAGUCUGAUGUGAAAGCCCACGGCUCAACCGUGGGAGGGUCAUUGGAAACUGGGAGACUUGAGUGCAGAAGAGGAAGUGUAAUUCCAUGUGUAGCGGUGAAAUGCGUAGAGAUAUGGAGGAACACCAGUGGGCGAAGGCGACUUUGCUGGUCUGUAACUGACACUGAGGCGCGAAA